UUGCUGCCAUAUUCAACCUUUCUGCACUAGAAAACCUAGUGCAAAACCCUAGUCGCCCUCACUCCCUUUGCCGCUGUCAUCGCGCCUUCCUUCUCCGUAGUCAGCCAUCGAAGCCUCUACCGUGGAUCAUCGUUCAUGUCGCACCUCGUCCAUUAAUCUCCGAGCGCAUGCCGCUCACCUUACUUGUCACUCGUCGAUUGAGCCAUUCUUGUUGCGCGUCGUCUUUCGCUACAUCAUCCCGUCGAGCAACAGCCGUCAACGAACGUCAGAGUUGCCAUCCGAGUCGGGUGAGUAUGCGGGUUGCUUCUUCCUCAACCGUCCGCCCGACCGGUGCAAGGCAUCCGCCUGAUCUGCGCGAGCAGCCAGUCGAGUCGCUUCCAGCCACGGCUGCAAGCUGCCUGAGCUGUCCCGUCGCCUGAGCCGGUUUGUCCUCCCAAGCUGCGAGUCGCUUGCCAGUCGCAACCCUAUUCCUUGAGCCGCCAAACCAUUUUUUUUAAACCGCCAACCUUAUUUUUGCCUUUUUCCUUAUUUUUUUGGAUUUCUCUUAGGAAGCUUGAUCAUUCUGUCAGGAUUAUAUUUGUGGAAUUAAGCUAAUCUCGAGGUGAGAGACUCUACUACUGGACCUUCGAACUAAAUUUAAGAGACUGCAUGUAUUUAAGAUUAUGAAAUCAAUGGUAGCUAAGAUGCAUAAUACGAUGCUAUAGAUUAUGAUUGAUGUUAAGUUGUUGGCGAUAACUGAUGAUAUGUUGUUAAUGAUGACUGUUAUGUCUAUGAUUAUUAUGAUACACGAUACGUUAAUUGCAUGCUUAAGGACGUUACGAUUAAUAUUCAUGUUAUGUUAUGAUGCUUAUGAUGAUGUCACAUGCUUUUGGUUUAUGAUAUGUCUGUUAACUUUAUAUGAUAAGUUUCUUACCCCACCUGUAUCGUGAUCCUAUCUAUGGGGUCAUUCGCAUGACUAGAGAUGUUCCUACGGGAUCACUCACAAGAUUUGAGGUGUAUCUACGGAUCACGUGCAUGGUUAGGGGACAAUUAUAUUAUGUAUACGAGGUCGCUCACACGACUGAUGGGACCACUCGCACGAUUAAGGGUGUACCUACGUAUUAUAUAUAUAUAUUAUGGAGUGUGUACCUGCGAUCACUAGCACGACUAGGGUGUUCUCAUGGGAUCGCUCGCACGAUUUAAUGGUGUUCGUACGGUCUCACUCACUUAGGCUAAGGUAAAGAACUUAAGAAGCUGGCGAACGACAGAUAGGGAUCCGUGUCAUGCCAUAUGAGAACAUAGUUAAGCUUCCGCAUUUAUUAUAUGUCUUUUAGUAUUUUUAAAAUUUAAACAUUUUGCUUAAGAUUUUGUCCUAUUUAUUUGUUUUUAGUUCUUUAAAAUUGUUAGAAUGCGCGAGUCAUGUUUUCAAAUUAUUUUUGUUGGUUUUGAUAAUCUUAUAUUUCACGAGCAUCUUUGUUUUAUAAGAAUUUGAAUGGUCUAUCUCUUUAAAGAAAA